UUAAUUUGCCGAAAAGCAUGGGACAAAAAAACAGGAAACCUGUGUGUUAGUCCUCUCACCUCCAUGAGGAUCUUGAGGCGGGGAAUCCUCUGGAAAGGCAGCGACAGGAAGGAGUCGAGGGGCAGGCGGUUACAGCAGGGGUUGUCCUGUAGCUUACACAGAAUCUCCACAACCUCAGCACUCUCAUUCCUGACCAGAGACAACAAUUGCAGUAUGAGCAACUGUCUCUACUGUCCAGAGACAACUCAUUUUGGAACAUGAGGCUAUGAGGAUUUGAUUGCAUUCAGCAACAAGGUAAGCAUACUGCACCUCCAGUAUCCAUCAUGCCAGAGAACCCAGUUCCACUGCUCCACAGCUGAAUACUGGGGGCUUUAUAACCGUAUAUAGCCCACAUCUGGUAUUAGACAUGGUUCCAGUAGGUUAAAGGUUGUUUAUCCGCUCCAGAAAGUCCUAUUCUUUUGGCAAUACUUUUCUACAGAAACUAGACAAGCUGUUUGUGUGUGUGUGUGGAUUUGAUAUCUGUGUUAACAAUGGUAAUCAUCUAACAAAAGCUCUUGUUACACUGGUAAAAGGCCUCAGAAUCUAGCAGAAAGUCUUCUCUGAACAGAAGAAACAGUUACUAUUAAUUUCAGAAGAAACAAUGAAUGGACAGGUGUCCCAAUACUUCUGUAGAGUAUUUACGUAUAUAGUGUAUUUAAGCAUAACAAUGGUUGCUAAUUCUACUGUACCUCAGGUUGGCUAGAGUUUGUUUCUGGUAUGGCAUGUUGCGGAUGUAGUCCACAUAUACACCAAACGGCCCACUGGCGUAAUGAUGCACCACAUCACAGACAGCAUUACACAGCAAACUGGACUCCAACUUCUGCACCAUUGCGUCCAUGAAGCUAAAAACACACAUAAACAUAGUAAGAUCAAUUCAUUUACAAUGCCAAAUCAGAAAAAGCUGGGAUAGUAUGGAAAAUUCCCAUGUCUUUUAUUUGAUUGCAGAUAGUAUGAACCCAAUGAACCCUAUUUCAUGUGGCGGAAAUUGUCCAACAGGCUAAUUAGGAAAGCAGAUCAGGUCGAUUCUCGGGAGUUGACUCACGUCUGGCUGAUCUCUCUGAUCUUGCUGAUUCCAGAGAAAAGAGCUUUUUGGUCUCUGGGCUCCAUGGCCGACUUCAGCUCUGCACAUUCCUGGAAAUGUUCCACAGCUACAGCCAGCCCAUCCAGAUAGGACUGCUCAGUGAUCACCACCUCAUACAUACUCUACAGAGAGAGAGAGAAACAGAGAAACAGAGAGAGGGAGAUUAUAAAAGUUUUAUUGAGGUUAGAUGUUAGAUGUUGAUUACCACUCCAUCCCAUCCCAAAAGUAAUCUUCAGUUAAAAAGUUAAAAACUCAUAAUAAAUAAUAUAGCAGACAUA
rnacentral:lncRNA from 1 species